GCCUGGCGUAGCCCGGUAACGCACCUGGUUCGGGACCAGGGGGCCACGGUUCGAAUCCUUGUAAGCCG
rnacentral:tRNA from 1 species